rnacentral:rRNA from 1 species
UUGCAUGGCGGGUGCUAUACAUGCAGUCGAGCGGACUUCUUCGGAGGUUAGCGGCGGACGGGUGAGUAACACGUGGGCAACCUGCCUGUAAGACUGGGAUAACUCCGGGAAACCGGAGCUAAUACCGGAUAGUAUCUUGAACCGCAUGGUUCAAGUUGGAAAGACGGUUUCGGCUGUCACUUACAGAUGGGCCCGCGGCGCAUUAGCUAGUUGGUGAGGUAAUGGCUCACCAAGGCAACGAUGCGUAGCCGACCUGAGAGGGUGAUCGGCCACACUGGGACUGAGACACGGCCCAGACUCCUACGGGAGGCAGCAGUAGGGAAUCUUCCGCAAUGGACGAAAGUCUGACGGAGCAACGCCGCGUGAGUGAUGAAGGUUUUCGGAUCGUAAAACUCUGUUGUUAGGGAAGAACAAGUGCGAGAGUAACUGCUCGCACCUUGACGGUACCUAACCAGAAAGCCACGGCUAACUACGUGCCAGCAGCCGCGGUAAUACGUAGGUGGCAAGCGUUGUCCGGAAUUAUUGGGCGUAAAGCGCGCGCAGGCGGUUUCUUAAGUCUGAUGUGAAAGCCCCCGGCUCAACCGGGGAGGGUCAUUGGAAACUGGGAAACUUGAGUGCAGAAGAGGAGAGUGGAAUUCCACGUGUAGCGGUGAAAUGCGUAGAGAUGUGGAGGAACACCAGUGGCGAAGGCGACUCUCUGGUCUGUAACUGACGCUGAGGCGCGAAAGCGUGGGGAGCGAACAGGAUUAGAUACCCUGGUAGUCCACGCCGUAAACGAUGAGUGCUAAGUGUUAGAGGGUUUCCGCCCUUUAGUGCUGCAGCUAACGCAUUAAGCACUCCGCCUGGGGAGUACGGUCGCAAGACUGAAACUCAAAGGAAUUGACGGGGGCCCGCACAAGCGGUGGAGCAUGUGGUUUAAUUCGAAGCAACGCGAAGAACCUUACCAGGUCUUGACAUCCUUUGCCACUUCUAGAGAUAGAAAGUUCCCCUUCGGGGGACAAAGUGACAGUGUGCAUGGUGUCGUCAGCUCGUGUCGUGAGAUGUUGGGUUAAGUCCCGCAACGAGCGCAACCCUUUGAUCUUAGUUUGCCAG